rnacentral:misc_RNA from 1 species
GGAAAAGGAAAUUGAAUCACUUCUGAAAUCAAAUAAUGAACAGAGAGCCAGCACUGUGCAAGUCCUUGAGAGUUUGUUGGAAACUGAGCGUGCUGCACGUUCUGAGGCAAACAACAGGGCAGAAGCACUAUCAGUUCAGUUGCAAACUACACAAGGAAAGCUGGAUCUUCUUCAGCAACAGCUAACUAAAGUUCGGCUGAAUGAAACAGCAUUAGAUAGCAAACUUAGAACUGCUUCUCAUGGAAAACGUGCCAGGAUAGAAGAAUAUGAAGCCGGCGUCGAAUCUGCUCUUAAUAUGGGCACAAAUGAUAGAGUAACCAGGGGAAAUAAGAGGUCAAAGAGUACGACCAGCCCCGUGGCAGUCACCUGUCCAGAAGAUGGGGGCUCCGAGUUUAGGGGAGAUGAUGUUACGAGUAGUCAACAAACAUAUACCGAGGAUUAUACUAAAUACACGGUGCAGAAACUGAAGCAAGAGCUCACAAAGCAUAAUUUUGGUGCUGAACUGCUCCAAUUGAAAAAUCCCAACAAGAAGGAGAUUCUAGCUUUAUAUGAGAAAUGUGUUCUC